UCAAAUUUCAUGGGUUCAACAGCAAAUUUUUCAUCAUUCCCACAAUUCAAGGGAAUUUCAUGGAUUUAACAACAACAUUUUCAUCAUUCCCAAACUUUUAUCAAAUUUCAUGGGUUUAACAACAAAAUUUUCAUCAUUUCCACAAAUCAAUCAAUUUUCACGGGUUUAAUAGCACUAUUUUCAUCAUUUACACAAUUAAAUAUAUUUCAUGGGUUCAACAACAAAAUUUUUCAUCAUUCCCAUAAUUCAUUCAAAUUUCAUGGGUUAAACAGCAGCAUUUUCAUCAUUCACACAAUUCAAUCAAAUUUCAAGGUUUAACAACAAAAUCUUCAUCAUUCACACAAUUCAAUCAAAUUUCAUGGGUUUAACAACAAAAUCUUCAUCAUUUACACAAUUCAAUCAAAUUUCAUGGGUUUAACAACAAAAUCUUCAUCAUUCACACAAUUCAAUCAAAUUGCAUGGGUUUAACGUCAACAUUUUCAUCAUUCCCACAAUUCAAUCAAAUUCCAUGGGUUUAANUCAAUCAAAUUUCAUGGGUUUAACAACAAAAUCUUCAUCAUUCACACAUAUCAAUCAAAUUUCAUGGGUUUAACAACAAAAUCUUCAUCAUUCACACAAUUCAAUCAAAUUUCAUUGGUUUAACAACAAAAUCUUCAUCAUUCACACAAUUCAAUCAAAUUGCAUGGGUUUAACGUCAACAUUUUCAUCAUUCCCACAAUUCAAUCAAAUUCCAUGGGUUUAAUAGCAGUGUUUUCAUCAUUCAUUCAAUUCAAUCAAAUUUUAUGGUUUUAAGAGCAACAUUUUCAUCAAUUCCACAAUUCAAUCAAAUUCCAUGAGUUUAACAACAACAUAUUCAUUAUUCACACAAUUGAAUAAAAUUUCAUGGUUUUAAUAGCAAAAUAUUCAUCAUUCCCACAAUUCAAUCAAAUUUCAUGGGUUUAACAUCAACAAUUUCAUCAUGUGCACAUUUUAACCAAUUUUCAUGAGUUUAACAACAACAAUUUCAUCAUUUUCACAAUUCAAUCAACUUUCAUAGGUUUAACAACAACAUUUUCAUCAUUCACACAAUUCAAUCAAAUUUCAUGGGUUUAACAACAACAUUUUCAUAAUUAACACAAUUCAUUCAAUUUUCAUCGAUUUAAUAGCAAUUUUUUCAUCAUUCACACAAUUCAAUCAAAUUUCAUGUGUUUAAUAACAACAUUUUCAUCAUUCCCACAAAUCAAUCAAAUUCCAUGGGUUUAAAAGCAACGUUUUCAUCAUUCACUCAAUUCAAUCAAAUUUUAUGGUUUUAAGAGCAACAAUUUCAUCAUUCCCACAAUUCAAUCAAAUUUCAUGGGUUUAACAACAACAUUUUCAUCAUUCCCAUAAUUCAUUCAAAUUUCAUGGGUUAAACAGCAUCAUUUUCAUCAUUCACACAAUUCAAUCAAAUUUCAAGGGUUUAGCAACAAAAUCUUCAUCAUUC
rnacentral:lncRNA from 1 species